rnacentral:rRNA from 1 species
GACAGAUGCUGCAAGCGUUAUCCGGAAUCAUUGGGCGUAAAGAGCGCGUAGGUGGAUCAAUUAGUCUGCUGUGAAAGUCAAAGGCUCAACCUUUGAAAGCCGGUGGAUACUGUUGAUCUAGAGUACGGAAGAGGCGAGUGGAAUUCCUGGUGUAGCGGUGGAAUGCGCAGAUAUCAGGAGGAACACCAAUAGCGAAGGCAGCGCGCUGGGACGUUACUGACACUGAGGCGCGAAAGCGUGGGGAGCAAACAGG